AAGUAUGGUUUACCUCAUCUAGGGUUUUUUUUUUCUUCUCUGUUUUUUCUUACACAUCUACCACUACUUUGAGAAUCUGACUGAUCUCGCCUUCUGAACAUGAGACUUGUGAAUCUGUUGCUCCUCUCUCCCUAUUAGACAGCCAUCAGCCAGUUUAUCUUUAGGUGUAUGAAUGAGUCCACACCCAUGAUAGCUAAGAAUAAUAGUUGCCCUGAUAGCCUACAAUUGACCUCAGAUAGGUCAUCAGCAAACACUUACUGUUGAAUGUCACUCCACUCUCUAUUGGUGCCUUAUCACACAAUCUCACUGCAGCAACAGAUACUUGACACAUCACUCAAUCAUAAAAAUAAACAUGAGAUGACAAUUGCAGUGUGUUCUCUGAAGAUCAGCAAUAGUUUCUCUAACCUAGCUAGGUUAAGAGAUCAAGGAACACUUUGUGUUUUGUUUUUAAAGAGAAAUACAUGUACCACCACUACCUGGCCUAAGUAACAGACUUGCCAGACUGGAGAAAUGGCUCUGCAGUUAAGAGCACUGACUGUUCUUCCAGAGAGGCCCUCCCUCCAAUUCCAGACACCCACAUGGUGGCUCACAAGCAUAUGAAAUUCCACCCCCGCCCCCAGGGGUGUAUCUGACACCCUCUUUUGGCCUCUGUGGGCACUGCAUGCAUAGACAAAGGCAAAUGAAGUACACAUGUAAAAUUAAAACCUGGAAAAAUUAAAAUAAGAAAAAAAGAUGUGUGAUCUUAGAUCUAAAAAUAUGCAGGAGCUAGAGAGAUGGCCCAUACCUGAUGCUCUUCCAUGUGGAGAGCCGUGCGUGCCGUGAGCAAUCGCCAUUAUAAGAUGGUGCUGGCCUCCACUGUGCCUAACUAGUAAAGAAGCCUUGUACGCAGGUGCGAGAGUGAAUUCACGCCUAGUCACUGCCCAUCUCGGGGCGUAAUAAUGGGGUGAUGGGUGAGCAACGAAUCAGGAGCUGUCACGCCACAUCAGGUGCUGAAAUGUCACGCUGCGGGCUAUAUAAGCAGUGCCAUUUUCUGGGUUCGGGGUCUUCCUCCUGAGAAGUAAGCAAUAAAGCUUUGCCGCAG
rnacentral:lncRNA from 1 species